rnacentral:rRNA from 1 species
GACGAACGCUGGCGGCGUGCUUAACACAUGCAAGUCGAACGGAAAGGCCCUGCUUGCUGGGUAUUCGAGUGGCGAACGGGUGAGUAACACGUGGGUGAUCUGCACCUGACUUUGGCAUAAGCCUGGGAAACUGGGUCUAAUACCGGAUAUUCAUUUUUACUCGCAUGGGGAUUUGUGGAAAGUUCUUGCGGUUAGGGAUGGUCUCGCGGCCUAUCAGCUUGUUGGUGGGGUAAUGGCCUAGCAAGGCGACGAGGGGUUGCCGACCUGGGAGGGUGGUCGGGCACACUGGUCCUGAGACAGGGCCCAGAGUGAUACGGGGGGCAGCGGUGGGGAGUCUUGCACAGUGGGCGCACGCCGGUUGCAGCGGCGCCGCGUGAGUAAUGACGGUCUUCUGGGUAUAAACCUCUUCAGGCUCCGACGACGCGCAUGUGACGGUAGCCACAGAAGAAGCACCGGCCAACUACGUG